rnacentral:rRNA from 1 species
CACCGCGGUUAUACGAGAGACCCAAGUUGAUAGACACCGGCGUAAAGAGUGGUUAAGAUGAAUUUGUACUAAAGCCGAACACCUUCAAAGCUGUUAUACGCACCCGAGGGUAAGAAGCCCACUCACGAAAGUGGCUUUACAAUAUCUGAAUCCACGAAAGCUAUGACA